rnacentral:misc_RNA from 1 species
GCUUAACACUGGCUGAGUAUAGACAAAUUGGUUAGUACAUGAAAAUCCAAGUCACUUAGUUUGAAUCAAACUACAAAUUUAGUAAUGUAAACCAUCAUAUAACCAAAAAUCAAAACCAAAACAAAAGCAUUCAAUUAAUUGCAUAUGCUAGUACAACUAUACUAACUUGCCCAUUACCAAUAUCAUUAGACAAAAUUAAAAAUACUUUUAUAGAUGAGUUCAUCCAUCAAAGCCAAAGAAGGAAAUAAAAAAUCAUAAAGUUCUGGAAAGUUUAACAACCACCAGUAAACACACAAUGAUCAGAAGAGGCUAGUUUCA